UACGAGGGGGGCGAGCGUUAUUCGGAAUCACUGGGCGUAAAGCGUGCGUAGGCGGUUAUGUAAGUUAGGAGUGAAAGCCCAGGGCUCAACCUUGGAAUUGCUUUUAAAACUACAUGACUAGAAUUCGAUAGAGGAUGGCGGAAUUAUCAGUGUAGCAGUGAAAUGCGUAGAUAUUGAUAGGAACACCGGUGGCGUAAGCGGCCAUCUAGAUCGACAUUGACGCUGAGGUACGAAAGCGUGGGGAGCAAACAGG
rnacentral:rRNA from 1 species